rnacentral:lncRNA from 1 species
GAGGACGCGAAUACUGGCCUGAGAGCUGGGCGGUCGGAGCGGUGCAGAGACGGCCUGCGCUGCAUGCUGGGACUUGUAGUCUCGAAGCAGGAGAAGACCACGUGGUCGCGGUGCUUUAGGGGGCAAGGCGUUGGAGGCUGCUGGGCUACUCUGCAUGCAGUUGGUGUGGGCGUCGGGACCGUGUCUCGGGAACCAGCUCUUACCUCUUACAGCUGAGCGGGGUUGCGAACUCCCUGGGUGCGGGAUGUUCCACCUAAAACUCAAGCUGGGACAUGCGGAUCACCUCAUUAGGACCCAGGGAAAGUGUAAAGCAUGGUCCCUACUACUAAAAAGAAGACCACCUGGGAUAACAGGACAACUACAGGUGAACACCAGUGAAUAAUCCAAAAUCACGACAUGCAAAACCGUCUUAACAGGAGAGCUCAGAGGAAAAGGAAGUCAAUGAAGGAUGGAGAAAUGCAUGGAGAAGCUGCAUUUGAGGUCUGGAUGCAGAUGAAUGAAGGCAGGGGAAGAACAACGACAACAACAAAAAACCGCUAAGCAAAUUGAACAUCAUUUUUGUCCCACCUGAAUCCAAAGCAGAUUAAAAGGGCUUGGAAAAAUACAUUGUAAAACCUCACACCCAUUAGGAUGGCCACUAUAAAAAAUAAUAACAAGCAUCCACAAGUGCUGGAACUCUUGUACACUGUUGAUGGGAAUGUAAACUGGUACAGUUGCUCUGAGAAACAGUAUGGUGGUUUCUCACAAAAAGAUCGUAUUGCCGUAUAGUCCAGCAAUUCCACUUCUGGGUAUAUGCCUAAAAGAAUUAAAAGCAGAGUCCGAAAGCAGUAUUUGUAAACCCAUGUUCAUAACAGUGUUAUUCAUAAUACUUAGAAUGCGGAAGCAACCCAUGUGAUCAUGGAUGGAUGCAUAAGCACGGGCACACACGCACGUGUUACUCAGCUUUCAAAAGGAAGGAAAUUCUGCAGUACGCUACCACAUGGAUGAACCUUGAGGACGUUGUGAUAAAUGAAAUAAGCCAAAAUGAGCCAAUCACAAAACAACAAACACUGUAUGAUUGCACCUAGAUGAGGUACUCAGCCUAGUCAGAAUCAUACAGAAAGUAGAAUGGUGAUUGCCAGAGGCUGGGGACGAGGAGGAAGGGAGAGCUGUUUAAAGAGGAUAAUGUUUCGGUUUUGCAAGAUGAAAACAGUUUAGGAGAGGCUGGUGGUGAUGUUACGACAUGGAUGUUACUUACUACUUCUGAGCUGUAUACACUUGAAAAUAGUUUUAAGAUGUAAAUUCUAUGUGUAUUUUACCAUAUUUUUUUUUCUUUUUAGGGCCAGACUUGUGGCAUAUGGAAGUUCCCAGGCUCGGGGUCAAAUCAGAGCUAACAGCUGCCAGCCUACACCACAGCCACAGCACCGUGGGACCUGAGCUACAUCUGUUAACUACACCACAGCUCACAGCAAUGCCAGAUCCCCGACCCACUGAGUGAGGCCAGGGAUUGAACUCGCAUCUCAUGGAUACUAGUUGGAUUCAUUUCCGCUGAGCCACAAUGGGAACCCCCUAUUUUACCAUAAUUUUUAAAGUCAAGGAAGAACCACCCCAGCAACACAGAUAUUAACAGUGACAGCAAGAACACUGAAUGUAGUUUCAAGUUUCUUAGUAAGGUUGUUUUUGUCCCUAAAGUGUACAGGUAUACUGUCAGAAUCCUCUGAUUUAAAAGCGCUUUAAGUAUUUCUUCUCCAAGGAGUUGUACCACAAACUUGAUACCAGGUUGCUUUCAAUUUGUAGAAACAGCUUUAUUUUUAGGGUUUUUAUUCAAUUUUGUCUUUUAGGAGUUUUCGUUGUGGCUUAGUGGUAACAAGCCCAAUUAGUAUCCAUGGGGACAUGGGUUCGAUCCCUGGCCUAAGUGGGUUAAGUAUCUGGUGUUGCCGUGAGCGAUGGUGUAGGCUGCAGACGCAGCUUGGAUCCUAUGUUGCUGUGGCUGUGGUGUAGGCCAGCAGCUCUAGCUCCUAUUCGACCCCUAGCCUGGGAACUUCCAUAUGCUGCAGGUGUGGCCAAAUAAAGAGUGUACAAUGCUUUCAAUUAAUUUUUAUUUAAAUUUUUUUUCUAAAAUUCUUUUGGCAGUUAAAUGGUAUUCCUUUUGGAACAAGAAAAAUAAUGCAAAAGAUAUAUAUUUUAAAAUGUAUACAAAAGUUUUCAUAUGUCAGGAAUUUUUUCAGGUGCCUCUGAUUACUGGCAUCAAGAGAAAAUAUAUUCUUCUGUUGGUUUAAAUUGAAGCGUAGGCCGGCGGCUACAGCUCUGAUUCGACCCCUAGUCUGGGAAUCUGCCGCGGGGACAGACCUAGAAAAGGCAAAAAGACAAAAAUAAUAAUAAUAAAAUAAAUAAAUUGAAGUGUAAAAUAUGGUGUCUAUAUUAUCACAAAAGUGACAUGUGGAGUGAGAAGAAAAAUCUAGAGGUGGGUGGUCCUUGUGGCUUUCUUCACUGUCCUGCUGGGGAAGGGACCCGGUUUAACUUACAGACCCUCACUCCACUCUUAGGGGCCAGGGAGCACCCUACCUCUCCUGCAGCUCUCCUGGCUGAUGGCUGAUAUGUUAUGAUCCCAGGGUAGCAGUGGCAUUGCACUAAGAGGAGAAAAUUGCCUUGGGGUUUAAAUUGAAGUAGGCGACAAAAGACCAGCUCCACCUAACCACUGGUGUGUGAACACAGUGAGGAGCACCAGAAACUUAAGAGAAUUUGAAUGUCACCUCACCUCCUGUGUUCAUAAUCUUGGUGGUAGAUGCAGUGGAUCUAAAAAGUAUACUUUUUGCUAAAACAACAUGCAGAAAAAAGCGUAACGCCUCUCCUACUGAAAUUGACAGAACUCUUUACAAGGAUUGACCCUCUCUGGUUUAUCCUACGAUACUGGAUGCCAGAACAUAGCUGGCAUUUAGACUGACCCAUUUAUUAGUAAUUUGUCUAAAAUAGGGUUUCCAAGUGUGUAAUGAGAGAGGAGCUUAGACAAAUCUGGUCUAGUCCAUCCUGAUAUCACUACUAAACCACUGGUACUUAAAGUCAGCUUUUAUCUUAUAACUUCUGGGGUCAAAGAGCCUCCCUAUUUAAUGCCUGAAUCUGGUUUUAAAGCUUCUGUAACCCAAAACCAUCCCAACUUUCCUGUAAUCAGUCUUAUCUCCUCAAUGUUUCAAAUAUACCAAGACCUGGGCUUGUAUCUGAAUGUUUGCUUAUAAUCAUUUAAGUUCCCAUUGCAUUCACUUUUAAUAAAGUCUGUUUUGUUGUUCCAUCCCCUGCUUGCAAAAAUAGAUGCUAUAAAAUGGCUUCAAUGUAGAUUUUCAUAACAAGCAAAGCCCACUUAACGUACCUCUUUAUAAGGAGGAGGGACCGUCACUCAGAUCUCUUUGCUGUAAAACCAGUAUAUUCACUUCUUAGAUAAAUUACUGCUUGUCAUUAGUUGUGUUUCUUUAUCUGUUUUGGCCACUAAGAAACUCAGAAUCACAUAUGCAUCUCUUCUUUAGUACGGCAAAGAUUCUUUCUUUUUCUUUUUUCUUUUUUCUUUUUUUUUUUUUUAUGGCCACAUCCACAGCAUAUGGGAAUUUCUGGGCCAGGGAUCAAAUCUGAGCUGCAGCUGCGACCUAUGACACAGCUGCAGCAAUGCUGGAUCCUUAACCCACUGCACCUUAGUGGGAAUUCUGCAUUGUAUAAUUUAAAUGGGUGAAUCAUAUGGUAUGUGAAAUAUAUCUCAUAAAUAAAGCUGUUAUUUAAAUU